rnacentral:rRNA from 1 species
UGGGGAAUAUUGCACAAUGGGCGCAAGCCUGAUGCAGCAACGCCGCGUGAGGGAAGACGGUUUUCGGAUUGUAAACCUCUGUCAUUAGUGACGAAGAAGUGACGGUAGCUAAUGAGGAAGCCACGGCUAACUACGUGCCAGCAGCCGCGGUAAUACGUAGGUGGCGAGCGUUGUCCGGAUUUACUGGGUGUAAAGGGCGUGUAGGCGGAGAUGCAAGUUGGGAGUGAAAUCCCGGGGCUCAACCCCGGAACUGCUUUCAAAACUGUAUCCCUUGAGCAUCGGAGAGGCAAGCGGAAUUCCUAGUGUAGCGGUGAAAUGCGUAGAUAUUAGGAGGAACACCAGUGGCGAAGGCGGCUUGCUGGACGACAACUGACGCUGAGGCGCGAAAGCGUGGGGAGCAAACAGGAUUAGAUACCCUGGUAGU